rnacentral:misc_RNA from 1 species
AACGCACAUUGCGCCCGCCAGCACCCUGGCGGGCAUGCCUGUCCGAGCGUCAUUUCAACCCUCGAGGCCCCAGGGCCCGGUGCUGGGGCGCUGCGGCGACGCCACCGGGCGCGCCGCAGGCCCCGAAACGCAGCGGCGGCGCCCCCGAGGCCCCCGAGCGAGGUAGCACACAGCACCGCUCAGGGCGGUCCGGGGGCUGCCAGCGCCGUAAAGCCGGCCGCGGCCAGCGGCUGUACACACCAAGGUUGACCUCGGAUCAGGUAGGAGUACCCGCUGAACUUAA